UACGUAGGGUGCGAGCGUUAAUCGGAAUUACUGGGCGUAAAGCGUGCGCAGGCGGUGAUGUAAGACCGAUGUGAAAUCCCCGGGCUUAACCUGGGAACUGCAUUGGUGACUGCAUCGCUCGAGUAUGGCAGAGGGGGGUAGAAUUCCACGUGUAGCAGUGAAAUGCGUAGAGAUGUGGAGGAAUACCGAUGGGCGAAGGCAGCCCCCUGGGUCAAUACUGACGCUCAUGCACGAAAGCGUGGGGAGCAAACAGG
rnacentral:rRNA from 1 species